rnacentral:ncRNA from 1 species
CCAGUGCCGGAAGGUCAAGGAAGUUGGUGAACUGAUGACAGGGAAGCCGGCGACCGAAGCCCCGGUGAACGGCGGCCGUAACUAUAACGGUCCUAAGGUAGCGAAAUUCCUUGUCGGGUAAGUUCCGACCCGCACGAAAGGCGUAACGUUCUGGGCACUGUCUCGGAGAGAGGCUCGGUGAAAUAGACAUGUCUGUGAAGAUGCGGACUACCUGCACCUGGACAGAAAGACCCUAUGAAGCUUUACUGUUCCCUGGGAUUGGCUUUGGGCCUUUCCUGCGCAGCUUAGGUGGAAG